UUGGAAUCAGAGAAUGUACAGGUGAGUCUGUUGGAAACAGAGAAUGUACAGGUGAGUCUGUUGGAAACAGAGAAUGUACAGGUGAGUCUGUUGGAAACAGAGAAUGUACAGGUGAGUCUGUUACUAUCAGAUUAUGUGUAUUCUUUGGGGAACAUUUCUACUCAUCAUGUUGCCUGUCCUCUUCCCAUCAGGGAGACUCUAGUCCAGUGUAUGAAAACGUCUCAAGCAUGUCCACAGCCCCUACUGCAGCACAGACAGCAGCCACCGUCCACCAGGACGAUGUUCACUACUCCAGUGUCCACUUCUCUCGCUCCAAAAACCAGGAAGUGCCUCUGUACUCUACCGUCCAGAUGCCUCAGCCCCAGAAAGAGGAAGAGGAUGUCCAGUACGAUGCUGUGAAAUUCAACCUCCCCAGUGCUGCCAACCAACCCACGGCAGCACAAGCAGCUGAGGAGGACUCUUCUGAGAUCUAUAGUAGAGUCAACAAACCCAGAAGACCUGAACACAACAAACCCAGAACCAAAAAGACCUGAAUGCAACAAACCCAGAACCAAGAAGACCUGAACGCAACAAACCCAGAAACAAGAAGACCUGAACGCAACAAACCCAGAACCAAGAAGACCUGAACGCAACAAACCCAGAACCAAGAAGACCUGAACACAACAAACCCAGAACCAAGAGGACCUGAACACAACAAACCCAGAACCAAGAGGACCUGAACACAACAAACCCAGAACCAAGAAGACCUGAACGCAACAAACCCAGAACCAAGAAGACCUGAACGCAACAAACCCAGAACCAAAAAGACCUGAACGCAACAAACCCAGAACCAAAAAGA
ensembl:lncRNA